rnacentral:sRNA from 1 species
CCGCUCGCGGCCUCCACUGCCAACCUCAGCCUUUUACUGCAGCACCCGCCGCUGCCCGCCUACACAAUCCAGGGACAGUAUGCCAUCCCUCACCCGGAUGUCUGGAUGCCAGCCCACCAGCCAGCACUCAUGAGCUCACCAUUCCCAAUGAUCUAAUAGGCUGCAUAAUUGGACGCCAAGGGACCAAAAUCAAUGAAAUUCGACAGAUGUCUGGAGCUCAGAUCAAAAUCGCCAACGCCACGGAAGGGUCGUCAGAGCGUCAGAUCACCAUCACGGGGACCCCGGCCAACAUCAGCCUUGCCCAGUAUCUCAUCAAUGCCAGGCUGACGUCCGAGGUCACCGGGAUGGGCACUCUCUAAUCCUACCCAGCACCCUCCCCCCACGUCACCCACCUGCCAGAGCCCAAGGCCCCCGGCUCUCGCACUCUGUACAGCCCACCUUCCCUGCCUCACAGAUACCAAAAGAGAGGUUUUCUUAAUUAACAAAAGGACGUAUGCCAUGGAGAAACACACCCGCGCACACAGCCGCUCUCUACA